AAUAGAUGACGCCGUUGAUUUUUUCUCACGUGUUUGACCAUUCGUCUUAUUCAAAAAUUCUAUGCAAAUGUAUAAGAUAUAAAUCACACUUAAAGUACUAUGAGUGAUAAAACAACUCAUAAUAAAAUAAAUUAUAAUUACGUAAAUUUUUUAAAUAAGACGAAUGGUCAAACACGUGAGAAAAAAUCAACGGUAUCAUCUAUU
rnacentral:pre_miRNA from 1 species